rnacentral:lncRNA from 1 species
CUUCCGGGUUCAAGCGAGUCUCCUACCUUAGCCUCCCCAUAGCUGGGACUAGAGGUGCAUGCCUGGUUAAUUUUUUAUGUUUUGUUUUGUUUUGUUUAUUGCUUUUUUCUUUUUGUAGAGACAGGGUUUCACCAUGUUGGCCAGGCUGGUCCCAACUCCUGGGCUCAAAUGAUCUGUCUGCCUUGGCCUCCCAAAAUGCUUGGAUUAUAGGCAUGAGCCACCGGGCCCAGACGUUUAGCUGAAUAUUUUAAAGCGAUGCAGUUGAAAUGGUGCUAAGCCCUUGAGAGUCAGAGCAAAAAGAGACAACUAGACCAUAAGCUUCAGUGAAGGUACGUGGCAUGAUUUCUUUCUGAUUAUUUUCCUUCUUGUAUUAAGCCAUGCACUGCUCAGUCAAUAAUUAAUAGCUAUGACCUGUAAUCCUGAAGCCAAACCACAUUAAACUUUUAUUCCAUAUUACUCAGGACCUGCAAAUUUCAGGAGGAAAUGUAGAUGGUAACUAGGAUUAUGGAGAAAACAAAAUGACCUAUGGCUAGUUCAUCUAUGAAACAGAAGAAAUCUAAAUUUUGCCUUGGCUUCACCCCAAACUACAAAAAGUACUGUUUUACAAGAGCUUAUUCUGAAAUAUCACUUCCUGAACGUAGAAGUAUGCUAUUUGCACAGAUACAUUCCAUAGACAUACACAAUGUCCAGCUGAGAAAAUAAAGGAUAGUCCAUCUGGAUGUUUCUUUCUUUCUCCUAACUGUGACCUGUGAGUAAUUUCAGUUCAACACGGAAAAAAAUAAAUAAAACUUACAUUGUUGUGUAAACA